UCACGGAUAUUCUCCCUGUUCUGACUCUGUGAUUAUUAGGGAAUGUUGAACAGUUGCUACAGUAAGCCCAUGCAUGUGUCUCAGACCUACUUCUUUUCCUGGACUGGAUUUUGGUGGUGAUGCUGGUGACAGGU